CUUAUUCAAAUGGGAAACAAGUAGACUAAACAUUCGGCUUAUUCAAUCAGGCAUAGCUAAAAUAAAAUGCCGGCUUUAUACCAAGUUAUUAAACGGACCCAAACAGCUGAUGUAACCAGCUACUGCAAUGCAAACAAUGGAACCCUAAUCGUUCGAUUCGUCAACCGGUACAGAGAUGGCCAAUACAAAAGGAAUACACAGGUGCUCGGUAGAAGGAUAUGAACCGUUCUAUUCUGAAUUCCACAAGAUAUGUAAAAACAAUAUAGGUACUCAGUACAAGACACCUUAAAUUUUGCUUUUAUCCUGGAGACCUAGCGAUGCUGUUGUACUUUUCUGGAGUUCCCCAAACCAACUUCAGCGAGAGUUUGGUACUUUCCCUAAUUGCUUACUGUGUUCUGCAGAAUCAAGACAAAGUAAAUGGAAAAAGAUAAGUCAGAAGAGAGGUAAUUCGAGAAACGUAAUACACUAAGUUCAAUUUCCAUAAAACAUGCAUAUUAAAGAUCCUAUGCGGAUAUGUUAAAUGUUUCAAGUUAUCAGUUCAGAACUAAGAGCUCCCGUCUGUGGUAGUAAGUUAUCA
rnacentral:lncRNA from 1 species